rnacentral:rRNA from 1 species
GUGUCAGCCGCCGCGGUAAUACGUAGGGGGCGAGCGUUAUCCGGAUUUACUGGGCGUAAAGCGCGUUAAGGCGGAUGGCCAAGUUGGCGGUGAAAUUUCGGGGCUCAACCCCGAAACUGCCGCCAAAACUGGUCGUCUGGAGUAUGGGAGAGGAAGGUGGAAUUCCGGGUGCAGUAGUGAGGUGCGUAGAUAUCCGGAGGAACACCAGCGGCGAAGGCGGCCUUCUGGCCCAUAACUGACGCUGUAGCGCGAAAGCGUGGGGAGCGAACGGGGUUAGAAACCCUUGUAGUCC